AGCUCUUAGCCUUAUCUUUUUGACAAUGUGUCUGGACAUUGGACUAUUUUUCUAAUAAAGGUUUGGAAUACCUCAUAUGAGGAUUAAUCUUUGGGUGACU